UACGGAGGGUGCAAACGUUGUCCGGAAUCACUGGGCGUAAAGCGCAUGUAGGUGGUUUAGUAAGUGAAAAGAUUAAAGACCGAUGCUUAACAUCGGACCGGUUUUUCAUACUGCUAAACUGGAGUAUGGCAGGGGUAAGCGGAACUUUGAGUGUAGGAGUGAAAUCCGUAGAUAUUCAAAGGAACACCAAUGGCGAAGGCAGCUUACUGGGCCAUUACUGACACUGAGAUGCGAAAAGUGUGGGGGAGCAAACGGGG
rnacentral:rRNA from 1 species